rnacentral:rRNA from 1 species
UACGUAGGGUGCGAGCGUUAAUCGGAUUUACUGGGCGUAAAGAGCGCGCAGGCGGUCGAUCAAGUCGAGUGUGAAAGCCCUGGGCUCAACCUAGGAAGUGCAUUCGAAACUUCCGAGCUGGAGUGCUGGAGAGGAAGGCGGAAUUCUCGGUGUAGAGGUGAAAUUCGUAGAUAUCGAGAGGAACACCGGUGGCGAAGGCGGCCUUCUGGACAGCCACUGACGCUGAGACGCGAAAGCGUGGGGAGCAAACAGG